GAAGAUGAUGAAACAGGAGUGGACGUACCUGCCAGGACAAACAGAUGGUUCCCAGGCUCUCCCUGCUUGAUGACGUACUCUCCCUGCUGGUGUCACUUUCACCACAACAAGCUGGCAGGAUGCCUACAGGUCAGCCUCAGUGUGACCUACAUCCCUCUGGGUCGGCCUGGUCAGCGGAGAGGCAGGAGGAGAUGCGGGCUGACAGGCGUGAUUGAAAGACUCCAAAGGCCUCGAGGGGAAUGAAUCCACACGGCAUCAACUGAGGAGAGCAUUCAAAUCUUUCCGUCCCUGCAGCGAACAACAGCAAAGAAAAAACCUAAAACGGGAUGAUUGGCGCCUAAAUGCUGCCUCUGUUGCUCCUCCUCUCAGAGUCAACAGCACAGAGGACGCCCUGAGCCCAUCACAAACCAGCCCCUCCCUUAAAGGAGAGGUCACAGGGGCGAGGAACAUACCAGACUUCUUGGGAACUUUCCGUUUCACGACCCCGACCUCUUGUUUGCAUUUCUGAGCUCCAAAAAAAAAAAAACACCCAAAAGGUUCCCUCACAUGCCUCAGGGAGUCAGAUACAUAUUGACAGUACACUCCGUCUCUGUGGAAACGGGCA